rnacentral:pre_miRNA from 1 species
ACUCAUCCACAGGCUGUCCACCCCCAGGCGGGGCUGGGUGAGUAUCUGUUCGAAAGGCUCACCCUCAAGCAUGACUAGGAGC